AUGGCAGAAUGCUUCAAUAAGGUGCUCAAGGGUGUACGUGCAUUACCCGUGACGGCAAUAGUUCAAUACACAUUUGACAAGAUGAAUGGAUACUUUUUAAAGUACUCAAUGGAGACGGAUAAGCAGAUUGCUGGUGAGAACAAGGAUAAGCACAAGUACUAUUUCCCACCAAAGGUUGAAGAAUGGUUGGACUUUCAAUCACGAAAGGCAGACUCCCAAGAAGCUGUACUAUAUGACGACAACGAGUGGAAGUAUGAAGUGAAAGAGCCUGGAGGAACCACAAACGAUGGGCACCAACACGGAGGCCGCGCUUUCAAGGUCUCCCUAACACGGUGUGAUUGCAGCUGCAUGAGGCCAUCGUUGCUUCAUCUCCCAUGCUCGCACUUGUUAAAUGCAUCCCGUGUUAGGAAUGUGGACGUCAAUCACCCUCUUACCGUGAGGGAGUCCGAGUUCUCAAUCAUGACGGUAAAGAAUACAUGGGCUCCCCGGUUUCAGCCAUACUUGGACCAAUCACAAUGGCCGGAGUAUCAUGGAGUUCAACUAUGGCCGGACCCGGAAUUGAAGGUCGUUAGACGGGGAAGACGUAAGACAAAGCGUCUUAGAGGUGACAUGGACGGAUGGGGCCGUGGUGGCGGUGGAGAAUACGGCACCGGCCAAUUCCAAGAGCCUCGUGAGCAAACCCGUUGUGGGGACUGCAGUCAUCGGGGACACAACACAAGAACUUGUCCCAAACCAAGAAAAAGAUCAAAGAAAAAUGAUGCAAGCACAAGCCAAGCAAAUGAUAGCCAACCAAGUCAACCAACGAGUUAUGAACUCAUCGGCAUAAAAUUAUGA
rnacentral:rRNA from 1 species